CCAAAAUUUGGGCUGGGUUAAACAUUGGAGGUACCACAUGAAACCAACAUAAAAUGAACAAUUGCACUCUACUUAUUGCACAAUACCCAUUGCCAGACAAAUCAUCUUCUGCAUAAGGCCCGCCAGACACCCACAAAAAGUUGACCCUUCAGGUAUACACGGGUAAAAUUGGUCUGGAAUAUAUAUCGAUUGUACCACAUUAAGGUACGUUUGAAUGAACAGGUUCAUAUCACAGCGUACAGAAUGGGCCACACCAGAUAAAUCUUCCUCUGCAUAAGGCUUAAACAUUGGAGGUAUCACAUGGAACCAACAUAAAAUGAACUAUUACACUCUACUUAUUACAAAAUACCCAUUGCCAAACAAAUCCUCUUCUGCAUAAGGCCCGCUAGACAGACCCUCACCCCACCCCACACAGUUGACCCUCUGUAAUCCGAGUGUGCAUAAUGAAACAUUGGACAUCAGCUCUGAGAGUCAACAGAUGGUCAAAUUUAUGUUUUGUUCUUAAAGAUGGAAGGAUUUUAUUGAGAUUAAAAUCACGUAUUUAUAAAAUCAGGUCUCUGAAUACUAGUAUUGAUAUCAUAGAUUAGGCCUAUCGUUGAAAUGUAAUAAAAAAAAAGGCAUGAAUCUGAUUCUUGUGAAUAUAUAUCUGAUCAGCUAUGAAGUCCUCAAAGCCUGCUAUAGCCUGAUAGCUUGGCUAUGGAUUCCUACAAACCCAAACAUGCUUAGGUAGUCCUCAAAGCCUGCUAUAAGAAUGGUAAAUGACAGUCCCUAAUACCAUUUGGAAAUCUUUUGGUGAUAAUUGUGUUUAAAAACCUAUGAUCUCCGUUUAUUUAGCAAGUUUUAUCAUCUAAAAAGCUGAAUUCCGGCCAAAUAUUUCCAUAUUUAUGGUCGGUCCCGAAAAGUUUAUCGUAUCGAGAAACCUAACAAAAUCGUGGCACAGACCUGUGUGAAAAUAUCAAGUUUGUCAGGUCACGGAAAGAGAUGAACAGGGUUUGGUGACACGAAAAGAUGAAUGUUCUAUUCUUGAUGUAUUUUCGUCCUGAUCUUCACAACUUUUCUCGGAGUGUCACGGUUGGAUACAAAAAUAUUUUUCUGUUCAAAAGAGAAGGGCCGUUACUGAUAUUCACCUCGUCAAAACUAUCGCACCACCAAAUGUGAAAUGUAAUUACCCAUCAUGUUUUAUGAUUUUGUUCUUGUUGUUAAAUGUAAAUGUAUGUUCAUAAUGUGACAUCGUUUUGAUUUCAAUACUCAAAUAUCUGUUAUGAAACCUCCACUAUAUAUCUAAAUUUUCACAAGGCCUUACGUCUCAGAUUUGCCAUCUAUCUGUUUGAAUAAACGUCUUACACUAGACAGAGAGUCAUGAUAUUGGCGCGUGAGCUGUGCCACGGUUAAAUGUGUUUAGACUUCUAUCCCAGGAUGACCCAGUGUACAUAUGUGUGUAUAUAUAUAUAUAUAUAUAUCUGUUUUUGAAUACCCUCAAUAAAGAAGGGAAAGCCAUACACAAUAAAUUUAACUUCUUUUUUUCUGAGGUGUGUGACGAGCACGUCACUUCUCUCGAGAAAUCGACAUCAAGCUUCCUGGGAAAAAUUUUCUUACCUCCCGGUAAAAUGCCAAGAAAGGUUGCAUUAACCUGAUCCAUUCAGGGUGUUUUCCACAACACAAAAUUCUAAACAAGCAAUUGUUGAUCUGUCACGAUUGACUGAAUUUUGUAUAAAUUCCCAUAUCAUUGUUACCAUAGAGCUUUGUUUUCAAGCAAAUGUGAAUUCUUUUGUUAAAAGAAAAGCCGUUUGCAAACCACACCUAGCCUUUUCUUUUCUGCCAACCUCUGAAUGCAAAUAUGAAAUCUUAAUAAUAGUGCUACAGACGUUAUAAUCACAAUAUAACUUGAAGCAUUUAUCAAAUCAUAAAACACUUUGAACUGAAUAAACAUGAUCAUACAUGAAGGUCGUGAGAAACCUUCCUUUGACACACCCUGGUUUGUAUUGGCAUUGUAAUAGGGGGUGUAAGUAGGUCACGGGACUACGCGAGACCUAACUUUAUUUAGUACGUCCGGUGACAAACAACGUCUCGCGGCAAUGGCGACAGCAGUGUCACUUCGGGCAGGGCCCGGCGAAUCAUAUUUGGAAAACGCAGGUGUAACUUAGAAAAACAUGACACUGUCACAGUCAUUAAAACACUCGAGAUGGGGAACAUGAAUAGCAAGUGUUGGCUUGUCAAAGCAGUUGCAGUGUUGUCAAGACGUCCUAUGGUCGAUGUCAAACUGGCCGCUACCCAUUCAUAAAUAUUGAGUUGGACCAUAUUUCCAUGUUUGAGGGGAGAAAGAUUUCCUCAUCUUACUCACGGGUAGAUGCAUAUGGAUCACCAGAAUUACCUUGAUGCCAAGCAUAACUGCACCUCAAGAGCAUCUCAGAUUAUAACAUAUCCUUAGAUUUCUUGGAAUAUUUUGUGGUCAAGCAUUACAUUGCCUAUGAAAGAACAACUCUUGUUGUGUAUACAGGUAUAAACAUAUUAAAGUUCUAUCUGAACAUUUUGCUGAAGUAUUGGCUCUGUAAAUGAUGUCUGUGACCAUCAGAUUACACCAUAUAUACACUGGACACUUGCUGGAACAGGACCUACUUGUCAUCAACAUGGUGUUGCAGAACAUCUUGGGACUCUCUCAUAAAGUCCAGUGUGAAUCUAGAUACUGACACCAGUAACAGUGCAUGCUGGCACAUUUAUUUGUUCAGGCUUGGCAUUUGGGAAUAUUUGCCAUGAAUGUUUAAUACUCAUGACCUUGGAAUAAAAUUACUGAAUAGA